rnacentral:rRNA from 1 species
UACGUAGGGUGCGAGCGUUGUCCGGAAUUAUUGGGCGUAAAGGGCUCGUAGGCGGUUUGUCGCGUCGGGAGUGAAAACCAGGUGCUUAACACCUGGCUUGCUUUCGAUACGGGCAGACUAGAGGCAUGCAGGGGAGAACGGAAUUCCUGGUGUAGCGGUGAAAUGCGCAGAUAUCAGGAGGAACACCGGUGGCGAAGGCGGCAUCCUGGACCGGCACUGACACUGAGGAGCGAAAGCCAGGGGAGCAAACGGG